ensembl:lncRNA
AUAUUACUUAUUUAUUGUGGUUGCAAGCUUUUGGGAUUCUAUUUGGGUUUUGCUUGAGUAUGUCUGAGGUUUCCCUGCUAUGUGGACAAAGGCGGAUAAUUUUUGUUCGUGUAUGUGUGUGUGUGGUUGGCAUGGUCUUUUCUCUCUCAUCUGGUCUCCAUUACGACUGGGAGUAUAAAACUACUGCACUGAGAGAGAGCUCCACAGAGCCGACUUAACACACUAACCCCACAAGCUAACACACUCGUGCAGCUUUUGCUAUGGUGCUGUGGGUCUUUUUGCUCUUUCUGCAGGGAUGUCUGCUCACACAUGCUCUGGACUGCAGGGGCAGGAGUGUGGACUGUGUCAGUACACAGGCUACAGAGGUCAAGGUUAAAGAUGAGUCCUUGUCUUCUCUGAUGAGCGCUCAAAGACAAGCUCAACUCACUCAGCAGCCUGGAUCUUAUUCAGUCAAAGGAUCUCCUAACACACUCAUCCAAACUGACAGGUCGAGGCGACAUUUGACUGCUAGUAAAAAAAAGCCCCACAGAUCUCGCAUCGGCUCUUACUCACUUCUUUCCCAUAACCACGCAACCAACCAACUGCAGGUCGUAAGUGCUCAUAGACACUUUGAGGAUGUGUCCCAUCCCAAAUUGACUGCAUUAAAGGUAAGUUCUCUUAAACAUAUAAAUUUUUCUGACAAUUUAGUGUCAAAUGUUGGAACUACAGCUCUAUUUCUAUUUUAG